GUUCCCAGCCGCGCCGCCCGGGCCGCCCCGCCGGCCCCUGCUCCGCCGCCCCCGAGCUGGGGGAAAACGAAACUUACCGCCCGGCUGCCUCCGCAGAGCCACAGCCCCGCUGCCGAGGAGUAGCGGUUUAGGGGCGCGGGGGGCUGGGGGGGGGAGAGCAGGGGGGAGGCGAACCGCACACAGCCUUCUCCUGCAACUGCUCUGAUUCCCCGCUACCUACAUGGGAGGGGAAGGGAGAGAGGAAAGCGAGGGAAGGCACAGGUGCAGCCGGCACUUACCUGCUCCCCCUCUCCCGCGGCUGCUCAGCGCAGUCCGGCUGAGAAAGCGGCGGCACAAACUUUCUGCCUCAUUACAACACUGCUGAAGCCUUUUGGGGAUGCAGAAUGAAACGGUCCUGCGACAGAAACGUGAUAACUCUGGAGUCAGGACGCCUCCUGCGAAAAAAAGGCAGAGGUUCCAAAUGCUGGUGGAGAUGCUGAACUGAUAUUUUCCACGGACAAAAAUAUUUUUAACACGUACCGUUUUUAGAACAAUGGAUCGUACCAAGGGCAACUCUUCAUUUUCAGACAUGAUUUCCAAUAUCACCCUUCUAAUCAGAGAGAAGCAAUUCAGCAUCAUGGCAUUUGUGAACUGAAGACGUGGUUUAAAGAGAGCAACUAGAAGCAAUCUUAAUUCUCCAAGUUAUGGAGUGUCUGAGUGCAUGGUUAAAACUUAAUAAGAUGUAUUCAGGAAGAAAAUCCUGAAUCAUGGUUGCACACAGUUGCUUAAGAUUGUAAUUAAGGGUUCUUCUUUCCUUUGUCCUCCUUCCCCCAAUUCCUAAUUCAUCUUUCACAAGUUAAUCAAAGACUCUGCACUGAUCCUUAGAGGACAAGGUUCAAGGACAGAUUAUCUUUUUUCAUCACUAAAUAUCACAAACACCUCUGCUCUAUCUUCUCUCAAAUUCAUUCUGAGAUGUAACCAGUACUUGGAAACCUUUUCUUUUCCUACUUAAUUCAGUAGCUAUGACUUCAAUGGUGAAAAUAGAACAGUCUAAAAAUAGAGGAAAAGCAAAACAAAACAAAACAAAAUAUCAUUUGGGAAUAGGAUGAUACAAAAAAAAAAAAAAGAAUCUACAAGUCUCAUAAACUUUACCUAGCAUCUUCAUAUUUUUUCUUUGCUCUUCAGGUUCAAGACUGGGACUAAACAGUUUUAUAAUCACUUAAAUUCUUUAUAAAGGAAGGAUUCUUUCUCAUUAAUUUUGAUUCUGAUCUAGAUAUUUCUAAGGGAGAAUUGGAAUAGCCAAUUAUCACCCAAUUAAAAAGCUUUCAUGUGUAGGCCUUUACAGAGUAUUUAAUGAUGUUCUUACUAACUUAACAGACCUCUCUCAAGGAUGUGCUUUAUGUUCCAAAAGUCUAUAUUCUCUCAAGCAAAACCUUUCAUUAAGCUGUAUGUCUGUGAAAACAUUUGAACUUAAUUUUACUGUGUUGAAAAUAAGAUAGGCAUUUUUUCCUGAUUAUUUUUCUAAAUGCUUAUGCUGUCAUAUCAAAAUAAAAAGUAUUAAACCCUUUGACUUUCAUGAGAGAAAAGCAGCCCAGUGGCUCCAAGCAAAAAGUGUGACUAAGCAGACCAAUUUAAUUCCAUUGCACAGGCAAUAUAA